AACGUAGGAGGCGAGCGUUAUCCGGAGUUACUGGGCGUAAAGCGCGAGUAGGUGGUUGAGCAGGUCGGGUGUGAAAGCUCCCAGGCUAAACCGGGAGAGGUCACUCGAAACCGCUGAACUAGAGGUCAGGAGAGGCACGUGGAAUUCCGGGUGUAGUGGUGAAAUGCGUAGAGAUCCGGAGGAACACCAGAGGCGAAGGCGGCGUGCUGGCCUGAAACUGACACUGAGACGCGAAAGCAUGGGGAGCAAACGGG
rnacentral:rRNA from 1 species